AAUUACCAAUCAAGUCCACAGAACAUACACACAAAAACGAAAGACCGGAUUGAUGGGUUAAUGGAGGAAGGUGGGGGCUGACCGGCUGAGAAGUGAUGUGACGGAUCCUAAUAAGAACAGCAAUCGUACACAACUUGCUGCUGUGAAAGAGAGAAAGAGAAGUACCAGUGACAAGUGGCAUGCCACGUGGGCCGGCGGUUUAGGACCCAAUCAGAGUGAAACUGCCACGUGAGAUCCUCUCCACGUCCCGACAACCAUCAAAAUUCAAAGCCUUCUUCUUUCUGUUUCCUCCAUCAUGCUCUUUAA